CCAGUGAUCGCACCCAAGAUCCAUGGUCCCGAGAGGAACGGGGAAGGUGGCGCCGAAGGCCAAGUCGACGAGGUGGCGCGUAUUGGACACGUAAGGAGUUCGCGCGCUGUUAUUAUUCGGCAAGUCUGCAAUGCAUUAAUUGCCCGCCUUCUUCGUCCUCACAUUUGCAACACGCACCCGCUUGGUGGCGCCCGCACCCAAGGUGGCUGCUGAGCGCGUGGCCGAGCCGCACGUGCAUCCGGGAGCUCGGGUGGGGCGCGCGGCGUGGAACCGAGCCUGAGGAAGACACCGGGGGCAGCAUGGCGGACGGCGCCGAACAGGGCCAGGACAGCCCCGUCGAAAAACAAGAGACAGAUGAUGACGGGCAGUCCGGCCUGCUGUCGUGCCGGCUGUUCGCGGUCAUCGCGGGCGCCGUGUUCAUGGCGCUGGUGGUCCUGUUUGGCGUCCCCAAGGACGAGCAGCAGCAGCACGGACUCUCUACAGCC
rnacentral:lncRNA from 1 species